UGACAAUAAAGGAUAUUUUAGCAACCAUUUUAAGCCAUAUAUUUCAGUUUCAGACCCUACAGCAGCAGGCCCCUCAACAUGGCCAGGUGAAAGCAGUGACAGUGAGGUGGAUGUGACAGUGAGACAAGGUGAGCUUUUAGCGGAAUUGCCUGUUUUAACACUUAGUAAUUAGUAAUUAAGUGUUAAGAGGAAAUAAGCAAAAUGGGUACAUUGUUAUUGUACACAUUUAAACUUUAAAGGGGCAGUUCACCCAAAAAUGAAAAUUAUGUCAUCAUUUACUCUCCCUCAAGUUGUUCCAAACCUGUAUGGUUUCCUUUCUCCUGCUAAACACAAAAGAAGAUAAUUUAAAGAAGGUUGACAAUUAAACAGUUGCUGGUCCUCAUUGACUUCCAUAUUUUUUUUCCUACUAUGGAAGUCAAUGGGGUCCAUCAGUCGUUUGGUUACCGACUUUUUCAAAAUAUCCCACCCAUUGGUAUCACUAUGGUAUUUGGUAGAGGGGCCCAGCAAGAUGGUUUGUACCCAGGGCCCAAAAUUUGGUGCUACGCCCCUGGCCCACGCAUGGUAAAUGGUAAAUGUUCGUGUGUUGGUCUAGUCUGUUUUUUUUUUUUUUUUUUUUUUUUUUUUUUUUUAUUUACAUACACAGAAUAUUUUGGGAUGUAUUCAUGUCUAUAAUAGCUUAUUUUAAUAUGACAACGAAAUCCCACCUGUGAGAAGAAGCUGCUGAUGAGGGGAAGCCACUGACAUCAAUGACAUACAACUUCUGACAUCAGUAUUUGCAUAUUUGCGUCCAUCAAUCGCAAUUACCAGAUGUGAGCGUGUACUCUGGGAAGAGAGACAAAGGGAUUCUAGAGGGCGAUUGCGUGAUUGGUUGUCCUACUGAUCUUGUAAAGAGUUUAUUUCGCUCUUGAGAAAUAUGGCUGAUGGAGAAAACGGAGCAGCACCCUUGCGUCGACACAGAUUCAAGGACUUUUUGCUUCGAGAGGAGACACGGAAAAACGAGGUCAAGAUGCAGGUUGACUUCUACGUCAAAGAGAAUAGUUUCAAAGAACGUCUGCAGUUUUACUUCAUCAAAAACCAACGAUCCAGUUUGUCUCAGAUUUUUUUUCUCUUUACACUUAAUUUUCCCAUUAAAUUCUCUGAUCUUAAAAUUAUGUUUCUUGAUUCCAUUACACAAGGAAUUAAAAACAUUAAACAAAUAUUUUUGAAAAAUAUAUAUAUAAAAAAACACUGGUCUAAAAUUUAAUUUAGUUAUAAAUAAUAUAUAUCUAUUUUUUAAUGUGUGUUUUGUUCCAUAUUAAAGUUCCAAAAAUCUCACUUCUUGAGUGCAUGUGAUAACAUUCUUUUUAUGCACUACCCUUGUCUAAAAUGGCUUAUAAACACUGUUUUUGUAUUAUUCAGGUCUCAGAGUGCGAGUGUCUUAUCUUUCGCUCCAGGUGUUAAGCUGCAUUUUGUAUAUAUACAGAGUGCUGAAAGAUUCAAGUGUAUCUGAACAUAAAUGGUAUAUAUUUUUCUAAUUCCUUAUACACAGUGAGAAGGACAAUAUAAUAAAACAUCUGGCCCAAAUUAAAUGAUUUAUGUAAAAUAAGACCAAAAAAAAAUCAGUUGCCUCAUUAUGUAAAAGUAACUUCUUAUAUUGCAAUUACUAUUUUUUUCAAUUCAGUUCACAUCUGCUAUUAACAUGAGUGUUCCAUAUUGAUAUUUGA
ensembl:lncRNA